GUAGUUUUUGCUGCCUCGUCCGUUUCUUAUGGACUAAGAGCCAGCGCGUGCCAGACCUUCAUCAAUUUAUAAAAGCUGAAAGUUUAUCCGCGUAUUGUCCACAACACAGGGAUGAACGAUCAGCGACGU